AAGUUCUUAUCGGAUUAUAUAAGUCUACUGCAUACCGAGUAGCGACCCAGCGCUUUCUUAGCAAUAAGAAUUGUGAGUGUAAGAGGGAAAACCAAGUGGUAACUCCAUUGUCAGUGUUUUCACGUUCGAACUCUCUGGGAAUGU